rnacentral:rRNA from 1 species
AUACGAAGGGUGCAAGCGUUAAUCGGAAUUACUGGGCGUAAAGCGCGCGUAGGUGGUUUUGUAAGUUGGAGGUGAAAGCCCCGGGCUCAACCUGGGAAUUGCCUCCAAAACUGCAUGACUAGAGUACGGUAGAGGGUAGUGGAAUUUCCUGUGUAGCGGUGAAAUGCGUAGAUAUAGGAAGGAACACCAGUGGCGAAGGCGACUACAGGGACUGAUACUGCAACGGCGGUGCUAAAGCGUGGGUAGCAAACAGGAUUAGAUACCCUGGUAGCCCACGCCGUAAACGAUGUCAACUAGCCGUUGGGAUCCUUGAGAUCUUAGUGGCGCAGCUAACGAAUUAAGUUGACCGCCUGGGGAGUACGGCCGCAAGGUUAAAACUCAAAUGAAUUGACGGGG